rnacentral:rRNA from 1 species
UCCUACGGGAGGCAGCAGUGAGGAAUAUUGGUCAAUGGUCGGGAGACUGAACCAGCCAAGCCGCGUGAGGGAUGAAGGUACAGAGUAUCGUAAACCUCUUUUGUCAGGGAACAAAGGCGGGGACGUGUCCCCGGAUGAGUGUACCUGAAGAAAAAGCAUCGGCUAACUCCGUGCCAGCAGCCGCGGUAAUACGGAGGAUGCGAGCGUUAUCCGGAUUUAUUGGGUUUAAAGGGUGCACAGGCGGUCUGUUAAGUCAGCGGUCAAAGCCCGGGGCUCAACCCCGGCCCGCCGUUGAAACUGGCAGG